UUGUGAGGUUAAGCGACUAAGCGUACACGGUGGAUGCCCUGGCAGUCAGAGGCGAUGAAGGACGUGCUAAUCUGCGAUAAGCGUCGGUGAGGUGAUAUGAACCGUUAUAACCGGCGAUUUCCGAAUGGGGAAACCCAGUGUGUUUCGACACACUAUCAUUAACUGAAUCCAUAGGUUAAUGAGGCGAACCGGGGGAACUGAAACAUCUAAGUACCCCGAGGAAAAGAAAUCAACCGAGAUUCCCCCAGUAGCGGCGAGCGAACGGGGAGGAGCCCAGAGCCUGAAUCAGUGUGUGUGUUAGUGGAAGCGUCUGGAAAGGCGUGCGAUACAGGGUGACAGCCCCGUACACAAAAAUGCACAUAUUGUGAGCUCGAUGAGUAGGGCGGGACACGUGGUAUCCUGUCUGAAUAUGGGGGGACCAUCCUCCAAGGCUAAAUACUCCUGACUGACCGAUAGUGAACCAGUACCGUGAGGGAAAGGCGAAAAGAACCCCGGCGAGGGGAGUGAAAAAGAACCUGAAACCGUGUACGUACAAGCAGUGGGAGCCUCUUUAUGGGGUGACUGCGUACCUUUUGUAUAAUGGGUCAGCGACUUAUAUUCUGUAGCAAGGUUAACCGAAUAGGGGAGCCGAAGGGAAACCGAGUCUUAACUGGGCGUUAAGUUGCAGGGUAUAGACCCGAAACCCGGUGAUCUAGCCAUGGGCAGGUUGAAGGUUGGGUAACACUAACUGGAGGACCGAACCGACUAAUGUUGAAAAAUUAGCGGAUGACUUGUGGCUGGGGGUGAAAGGCCAAUCAAACCGGGAGAUAGCUGGUUCUCCCCGAAAGCUAUUUAGGUAGCGCCUCGUGAAUUCAUCUCCGGGGGUAGAGCACUGUUUCGGCAAGGGGGUCAUCCCGACUUACCAACCCGAUGCAAACUGCGAAUACCGGAGAAUGUUAUCACGGGAGACACACGGCGGGUGCUAACGUCCGUCGUGAAGAGGGAAACAACCCAGACCGCCAGCUAAGGUCCCAAAGUCAUGGUUAAGUGGGAAACGAUGUGGGAAGGCCCAGACAGCCAGGAUGUUGGCUUAGAAGCAGCCAUCAUUUAAAGAAAGCGUAAUAGCUCACUGGUCGAGUCGGCCUGCGCGGAAGAUGUAACGGGGCUAAACCAUGCACCGAAGCUGCGGCAGCGACACUAUGUGUUGUUGGGUAGGGGAGCGUUCUGUAAGCCUGUGAAGGUGGCCUGUGAGGGUUGCUGGAGGUAUCAGAAGUGCGAAUGCUGACAUAAGUAACGAUAAAGCGGGUGAAAAGCCCGCUCGCCGGAAGACCAAGGGUUCCUGUCCAACGUUAAUCGGGGCAGGGUGAGUCGACCCCUAAGGCGAGGCCGAAAGGCGUAGUCGAUGGGAAACAGGUUAAUAUUCCUGUACUUGGUGUUACUGCGAAGGGGGGACGGAGAAGGCUAUGUUGGCCGGGCGACGGUUGUCCCGGUUUAAGCGUGUAGGCUGGUUUUCCAGGCAAAUCCGGAAAACCAAGGCUGAGGCGUGAUGACGAGGCACUACGGUGCUGAAGCGACAAAUGCCCUGCUUCCAGGAAAAGCCUCUAAGCAUCAGGUAACAUCAAAUCGUACCCCAAACCGACACAGGUGGUCAGGUAGAGAAUACCAAGGCGCUUGAGAGAACUCGGGUGAAGGAACUAGGCAAAAUGGUGCCGUAACUUCGGGAGAAGGCACGCUGAUAUGUAGGUGAAGCGACUUGCUCGUGGAGCUGAAAUCAGUCGAAGAUACCAGCUGGCUGCAACUGUUUAUUAAAAACACAGCACUGUGCAAACACGAAAGUGGACGUAUACGGUGUGACGCCUGCCCGGUGCCGGAAGGUUAAUUGAUGGGGUUAGCGGUAACGCGAAGCUCUUGAUCGAAGCCCCGGUAAACGGCGGCCGUAACUAUAACGGUCCUAAGGUAGCGAAAUUCCUUGUCGGGUAAGUUCCGACCUGCACGAAUGGCGUAAUGAUGGCCAGGCUGUCUCCACCCGAGACUCAGUGAAAUUGAACUCGCUGUGAAGAUGCAGUGUACCCGCGGCAAGACGGAAAGACCCCGUGAACCUUUACUAUAGCUUGACACUGAACAUUGAGCCUUGAUGUGUAGGAUAGGUGGGAGGCUUUGAAGUGUGGACGCCAGUCUGCAUGGAGCCGACCUUGAAAUACCACCCUUUAAUGUUUGAUGUUCUAACGUUGGCCCGUAAUCCGGGUUGCGGACAGUGUCUGGUGGGUAGUUUGACUGGGGCGGUCUCCUCCUAAAGAGUAACGGAGGAGCACGAAGGUUGGCUAAUCCUGGUCGGACAUCAGGAGGUUAGUGCAAUGGCAUAAGCCAGCUUGACUGCGAGCGUGACGGCGCGAGCAGGUGCGAAAGCAGGUCAUAGUGAUCCGGUGGUUCUGAAUGGAAGGGCCAUCGCUCAACGGAUAAAAGGUACUCCGGGGAUAACAGGCUGAUACCGCCCAAGAGUUCAUAUCGACGGCGGUGUUUGGCACCUCGAUGUCGGCUCAUCACAUCCUGGGGCUGAAGUAGGUCCCAAGGGUAUGGCUGUUCGCCAUUUAAAGUGGUACGCGAGCUGGGUUUAGAACGUCGUGAGACAGUUCGGUCCCUAUCUGCCGUGGGCGCUGGAGAACUGAGGGGGGCUGCUCCUA
rnacentral:rRNA from 1 species